ensembl:lncRNA LINC01203 long intergenic non-protein coding RNA 1203
UUUUUUUUUUUUUUUUUGACAGAGUCUCGCUUUGUCACCCAGGCUGGAGUGCAGUGGGGUGAUCUCGGCUCACUGCAGCCUCCACCUCCCAGGUUCAAGCGAUUCUCGUGCCUCUGCAUCCUGAAUAGCUGGGAUUACAGGUGUGCACCACCACAUCCUGCUGAUUUUUGUAUUUUGAGAGAUGGGGUUUUGGCACGUUGGCCAAGCUGGUCUCGAACUCCUGGCUUCAAGCAGUCCACCCACCUUGGCCUCCCAAAGUGCUGGAAUUACAGGCGUGCACCACCACGCCCGGCCAGAUCUUCAUAUAUCUAAGAUCCUGUCAAGAAGACAUGGUAAACCUCAUCAUGAUCAAGAAUGAGACUUUGCUUGCAUCCAGGCUUCCCAAAAGUUGUUUGAUAGUAUACAGGCAUGAGAUGGUGUGACUCUAACUCAUUAGAUGCCUUCGUCUUUUCAGUCAUCAUGUGAUGGAAAGAAAGCUAUCAACUUCAUUCCUGAGACUUCCUGCAACACAGCUUAGUAUGUCUAGCAUGGGCAUGCCUGCUGAAGUUUGGAACUUCCCAUCAAGGAAACAGGAAAAUGCCAUUGGCAAUGAGCUGAAGACUGAUUUACUCUACCAGCUCUAUCACCAGGAAGUCAAAGUAAAACUCCACCACUGAACUCUUGAAAGGCGUGUCUUCUGAAGGGUAGGAUUUCCCAUCAAAGAAACAGGAAAAUGCCAUUGGCAAUGAGCUGAAGACUGACUUUGAUUUACCCUACCAAGCAUGAUUUUAAUGACUACUUGUACAAACAUUUUGGAACAUCUGUUAUUGCUGCUACUACGGUUUCUAUCACUGUUUGAUGCUGGGACUCUUAAGCUCCAACCACGUUUUCACCGAGCUGAGUCGCCUUCUUAUCACCCCUUUCUGGAGCAGCAGGACAUCUGGGGAUGAGAAGAUGGAGAGAUCAUCCUUAUAUAAUGUUGCAGUCUGGAAGCAUCACUCUCAAAAAGCCAUUGUAGAGAAUCCAAGCCGAGUUUAAGAGUGCUGUGGAAAUACACUGCUGCUACUGCUGUUUCUAUUACUGUUUGAUGCUGGGACUCUUAUGCUCCAACCACGUUUUCACCCAGCUGAGUCGCCUUCGUAUCACGCCUUUCCAGUUCAACAAAGUGUGGACAGCUGUGCAGAAAUAUGAUUGGACAAAAAUGUUGUGAUCUAAAGCUAAUGGACUGAGUGUGGAAACCCAACAAGGCCUGUCUGUCUAGAUUCUUCUUGGCCUCUCUGAGCAGCGUUCCUUCCUUCUGGGUGUAAGGCAAGACCCUCUCUGGAGUGGGGGUGUUAUGACCUACAGUCAAACAAGAGAAAUAAAGUUCAUCACAGUGA